rnacentral:rRNA from 1 species
GACGAACGCUGGCGGCGUGCUUAACACAUGCAAGUCGAACGGAAAGGCCCUGCUUUUGUGGGGUGCUCGGGUGGCGAACGGGUGCGUAACACGUGAGUAACCUGCUCUUGACUUUGGGAUAGCUUAAGGAAACUGGGGCUAAUACCGGAUAGGAGCUCCUGCAGCAUGGUGGGGGUUGGAAAGUUUAGGCGGUUGGGGAUGGACUCGCGGCUGAUCAGCUUGUUGGUUGGGGAGGGGCUUACCAAGGCUGUGACGGGUAGCCGGCCUGUGAGGGUGGCCGGCGACAUUGGGACUGAGAUACGGCGCAGACUCCUACGGGAGGCAGCAGUGGGGAAUCUUGCACAGUGGGCGGGAGCCGGAUGCGGCAACGCCGCGUGCGUGAUGACGGCCUUCGGGGUGUAAACCGCUGUCGCCUGUGACGAAGCGGGAGUGACGGUAAUGGGUAAAGAAGCACCGGCUAACUACGUG